rnacentral:lncRNA from 1 species
UUUAGACUUAACAUUUCCAAAAUCCUGACGUAAGAGGUACUUUUCAAAUAUUUACAAGAUACAUCAAUCUAGAUUUGUCAUUGAUAUUUCAUUACACCCAAAAAGAACUUAUACAACAACAACCUAUCAAGUACAAAAUAUUUGCCCCAAAAUCUUCUAGUCUUCCACUUCCUCAACCCAAUUUACACAUUUUAGUGAGCGAUAAGCUAUCCUGAAAAAUUUAUAUAGCAACGGGGUGAGCAUAUAAAGCUCAGCAAAUGACUAACAUAUCCAUAGCAAAGAGGACAAUUUUCAAACAAAUGAGG